AUUGAACGCUGGCGGCAGGCCUAACACAUGCAAGUCGAACGGUAACAGGAAGCAGCUUGCUGCUUUGCUGACGAGUGGCGGACGGGUGAGUAAUGUCUGGGAAACUGCCUGAUGGAGGGGGAUAACUACUGGAAACGGUAGCUAAUACCGCAUAAUGUCGCAAGACCAAAGAGGGGGACCUUCGGGCCUCUUGCCAUCAGAUGUGCCCAGAUGGGAUUAGCUAGUAGGUGGGGUAACGGCUCACCUAGGCGACGAUCCCUAGCUGGUCUGAGAGGAUGACCAGCCACACUGGAACUGAGACACGGUCCAGACUCCUACGGGAGGCAGCAGUGGGGAAUAUUGCACAAUGGGCGCAAGCCUGAUGCAGCCAUGCCGCGUGUAUGAAGAAGGCCUUCGGGUUGUAAAGUACUUUCAGCGGGGAGGAAGGCGCUGCGGUUAAUAACCGCAGCGAUUGACGUACCCGCAGAAGAGCA
rnacentral:rRNA from 1 species